rnacentral:rRNA from 1 species
UACGUAGGGAGCAAGCGUUGUCCGGAAUCAUUGGGCGUAAAGCGCGCGUAGGUGGCCUCAUAAGUCCGCUGUGAAAGUCAAAGGCUCAACCUUUGAAAGCCGGUGGAUACUGUGAGGCUAGAGUACGGAAGAGGCGAGUGGAAUUCCUGGUGUAGCGGUGGAAUGCGCAGAUAUCAAGAGGAACACCUGCGGCGAAGGCGGGUUGCUGGGCCGACACUGACGCUGAGGCGCGAAAGCGUGGGGAGCAAACAGG